AUGUACUGGCUAGCUGAAGACAUGGUAGCUAGCUGGCAGCAUGCAGUUAUGACCUUUGAUCUCAGUAAAGAAAGUUUUGCACGGAUACAACUGCCAGCAACUGUACUCGAAGACUCUGCAGGUGAUGGGCCUCGUCGGUACUGGGUUAGAGAGAUUGAUGGGAAGAUAUGUAUAGCAACGGCUCAAACCUGUUCCUUUCAGCCCAGAAAGCUUGUUGGUAAGCUGCAAAUUUGGACACUUGAGAACAAAACGGAGCAAAGGUGGAGCCAGAAGUACAAUAUUCAGUACUCACCUGAUUACAUUCCAGGUCCAAAUUUGGUUCAUAGGGAUAAGAUCAUAUUGCAACGUCGUGAUCGUAACCUAUAUUCCUAUGAGUUGCUUGGUGACAACUCCAAUACUAAAUUGUGUAAGAUGGCAAAGCUGUUAGAUUUCAGGCCCCACAAGCCUGACAACAUGCAAUCCUACAUCUGUGUGAAAUCACUCAUACGCUUAGAUGUAUACAAGAAGGCUGGCAUUGUUCGUAGGCCAAAACAGCGGGAAGUGUGGGAAUUGAAGAAGUGGGAGGCGUGGGAGCACAAGCUCUCUGAGAAUGAAAGAAUAUGGACCGAUACUCAUCAAGACGAGCAUGAGGGAGCUGCACAUGCACAAUGCUAUCGCACAAUGAUCAAUGGUGUGCUGCCGCGUGUAUGGGAUGACACGAUUCAACUGGAAAUAGGCAUGAAAAUCAAUCAAAUAUUUCCGAACAUUCCAGAUCAGCAGCCAAGGCCCCUCCGGCGGCUUAAUUGUGUGGCACGGAAGCAGGAUAGGGAAAAUUUAUUCGGUCGUGUGGAGAAUUGGAACAAUAUUGCGAAGGCUACGAGGGACGCAAGGCACAGUAUCUUUAGCAUGAUGGUUAAUGCUGUAUUAAAUCAGAUUGGCGCGUCGAGUUCAGAUGCUGGCAUUUCUUCUCAGAAUCGCAGCGAGGGCGAUGAUGUGAAGAUUUGA
rnacentral:rRNA from 1 species